GGGGAAGGGCUGCACCCCUCCAACGCCAGCCAAUUCCUGCACUUUCUGCAGGAAAACGGCUGCUAACUGAAUUCCAAGCUGGGGGAAAAAAAAAAACUGUAAAGCAGAGAGGAGAAAGAAUUUCAUGAGUUCUGCACAAGCACUCACAUCCAGGAAGGAGCAGCUCCCUCAUUCCAGGAGAAUCCUCCCAUCUCCAGCUCCUCUCCACCCUGAGGAAUCACCCCUUACCCCGGUGUGCUCCGAGCAGUGCAGGAUGAUUUCCAGCUGGAUCAAUUCCUGA
rnacentral:lncRNA from 1 species